AGAGUGUUGAUCCUGGCUCAGAACGAACGCUGGCGGCGCGCCUAAUACAUGCAAGUCGAGCGAGAAGACGUGAGCAAUACGUGUUGUAAAGCGGCGAACGGGUGAGGAAUACAUGGGUAACCUACCCUCGAGUGGGGAAUAACUAGCCGAAAGGUUAGCUAAUACCGCGUACGCUCCUUGGACUUCGGUUCAGGGAGGAAAGCGAUACCGUGGGUAUCGCGCUCUUGGAUGGGCUCAUGUCCUAUCAGCUUGUUGGUGAGGUAACGGCUCACCAAGGCUUCGACGGGUAGCUGGUCUGAGAGGACGAUCAGCCACACUGGCACUGCGACACGGGCCAGACUCCUACGGGAGGCAGCAGUAAGGAAUAUUGCGCAAUGGGCGAAAGCCUGACGCAGCGACGCCGCGUGGGGGAUGAAGGUCUUCGGAUUGUAAACCCCUUUCGGGAGGGAAGAUGGAACGAGCAAUCGUUCGGAUGGUACCUCCAGAAGCAGCCACGGCUAACUUCGUGCCAGCAGCCGCGGUAAUACGACGGUGGCGAGCGUAGUACGGAUUUACUGGGCGUACACGGAGCGUCGGCGGUUCGGUAAGCCCUAUGUGAAAUCUCCAUGCUCAGUCUGGAACAGUCUGAGGGGACUGCGGAGCUAGAUGACGGGAGAGUAGCGCGGAUUUCCNGNGUGCGGUGAAAUGCGUAAAGAUCGGAUGAUUGCUGGUGCAAAGGCGGCGCUCUGGAGCGUCUCUGACGCGUAGGCUCCGAGGCCNGAGGGAGCAAACAUNGAUCUGAAUUCCCUGGGAUGUC
rnacentral:rRNA from 1 species